AGUGAGGUGUCACUUGUCUACAAACUGAACCAAUCCUGGUUCACUCCACAGACUGAGCACCCAACUCUGCAGGGUGAUCAACCAGAUGAAGGCUAAAGGAAACACCAGCAGGCGAGGGGUGCUAGUGAAAGUUAAGGAUAUAAGCCAGGUUUUACUGAGGUUAAAGUAACAGUGAAGACCAACGAAUACUCAGUAUUCUACUGUUUUAAUGUUGUCUGUGCUGUGGAAACCAUGCAUUAUCUUGUUUUCCUGUGAUAAGCAAAUUUUGGUAUUUUUCUUGAGAUCUCAGCUUUACAUCGGGUGAUCAUGACUCAUAUCCCAAGAGUUGCAAAAGGUGCAUAACAAACACAGAAAUAGUCUUAACUUACCUGAUUAAUGUGGGCAAUGAAAGCAUGGUAUAAAGUGGAUUAACUCAUCACAGCAGCCAGCCUGUUGUUUUCUUUUCUAGUUGCAAGGAAAUCACCCUUUUAUCAAGGAAGGACGAGCGCUGAUUUCUACAGAAAAAGAGAAAAAUAAUUUGUUGUAAUGAGAAACCAGCCUUUUUUUAUUCCAUGUUAACAACAAAAAUAAGUAAAGAGCUUGAGGAAACAAUCAAGAGUAACUCACAUGGAAAUUGAGCAUGUAAAUGUAUGGAUGCAUGUCCACUAAGGGCUUCCAUAGUAUGCAAAUGACGUCCAUAAGCCAGGGGUCAGGGCGCUUUUGGGGGGAAAUGCCGUUAUUCAUGAAUAAAUAAAUAAAUAAAAAUAAAUGAAUAAAAAUGACGAUUGUUUUAAAAUGCCUGUUUUACUCAUAAUUUUUUAAAAUAUAAACCAAAAUAAUGAUUGUAACCUUAUGGACAGUUCUGUAACUACUUCGGCCCAAACAUGGAGAGAAGUUACUUUAAAGUUUUUCAGUACUAUUAAGAUGACUUUAUCAUGUUUUUAGACUGUUGUAUUCUUCUGUGUUGUUCUUAUCUUCAUUUCUGAAACUGCCUGGUGGUGUUUGUGCAGAGCUGUGAGCAACAUCUAACCACCUUGAAGGACAGCAGAGGGCACUGGUCUCUGGCUCUGUUAUUGUAGGAGUCAUUGGCUGAAAAGUUUAGAAACUUCUGUCAUACAUAUUUUUCAGUAAACAUAGUUCUUGUUAAGUCCAGAUAGAUAUUACUAAAGCCUAAAUUAAAGAAAAAGAGAGUAUAUAUAGAGUUUAGCCAGAGGGUUUAUUAGCUGAAUGAAACUUACUCUCAUAAACCAAAUCGGUUUUCCUUUCAAGAUGUCAAAAGGAAAAUCACUCGAGAUCUCAAACACCAUAUACUGUUAUUGUCUGUCACAAUAUAGCCAUAACAAUAAAAAUGCUAACAAUGAAAGUAAAAAAUAUCAUAAUAAAAAAUUCUGCUAUUGACUGAUGACCAUCGAAUUUGAGUGGAAUUUUCUAUCUUGAAAUGAUCUCUUCUUGAAUUUGAACUCUUUUUUGAAUCAAUCACUUUGGUUUUACAUCUUCAGUUUCAAAAUACACAACUUAUUUGAAGGAACUUGAAGACCAAACUUGGUAGCUUUCUUACCCCUCACAAACUAUUAAACUCUUGUAUUUUGCUUUAAAUGUCUUUAUUUUGGAUGUCAUAUCUGGAUUUAUCAGAUAAAUGUGGCUUACAGGAAAUGUAGGGAGAUGAAAAUUUAAACGGACUCACUUAAUCAGAUAUAAGAUUUUGCAGUGCUAGCUUACAUGCUGAGAGUGGCCAAGUAAAAGAUAAAGUCAACUGUAACCCGGGACCUCACAUGCCCUCAAGAAUGAGCUUCAUCUGUGCCACCUGAUCUCUGUUUCUAACAGGCUAAGCUGCUGUAGGCAGAAGCUUUUUAUCCAACUGACUUACUAAAGACAACACUUAUCAUCCUGCUUAACAUUUCCUGUCCACAUGGAGUUAUUCUGCAACGCCGUAAUGUGUAAGAACAAAUGUGUUUGACAUUCAAAUACAAUUAAUGUCUGCAUCCUCACUCAUGGCCUGUAACUUCAGUUUGAUCAUUACAUGCCAAAUAAUGCUUGUAAUGAAAUGUCACUGUGGAAAAAGUCUUUAAAAGUUGUAAAUUGCUUGGUGUUGGUGGACUGCAAAUACAUCUAUAAGUACUGUGUAUCCUUUUUGUGUCUACUGUGCAUCGUUGCAGGGGGAGGGUGGAAACACGUGAUGAUCUCAACUGUGUCUUGACUGCAGAAAUAAAGCUUUCGAUACUUUUGUGGUUCA